rnacentral:rRNA from 1 species
ACAACGACUCUCGGCAACGGAUAUCUUGGCUCUCGCAUCGAUGAAGAACGUAGCGAAAUGCGAUACUUGGUGUGAAUUGCAGAAUCCCGUGAACCAUCGAGUCUUUGAACGCAAGUUGCGCCCGAAGCCAUUAGGCCAAAGGCACGUCUGCCUGGGCGUCACGC